GCAGCUAGAGGAGGAAAUAUGGCCAUAUGGGAACCCUUAACCCUAUAAAGGCGUAUCAAUUUAACCUUUUGUUUUUUGAACAUGAUUUCUAGCUGAUAUGAUAGAUAAGUUCCUUAUGCUUUCAGAACUGUACCUCUAACGAUGCGUGUUAAUGUUCAGACCGAGCGUUGCGGCUCUUAACAAAACUCCCCCCUACAGAAGAUGCCUUCGUCCAAUGGCUCUUAUGUGUAAUGUUCUGGCUCGUAUGUGUAAUGGCUCUGGCUCUUAUGUGUAAUGGCUCUGGCUCUUAUGUGUAAUGGAAUUGCAUGGCUAUAUGUGUAAUGUAAUGGCUCUUAUGUGUAAUGGAACUGAGAGUCAUUAUCAAGGGUUAGAUCUGCACCAUCACAUGCUCUGGGGAGCUGUCAAGUGUCCAGGUGCUGAAACACAUGCAGGAUUGUCCGUUUUUUUCACUAUUCACACAUCGAUUUCAUUUUUAUUUAAAAAAAAGUAGUAUUUUUAUUUCACCUUUAUUUAACCAGUUAGGCUAGUUGAGAACAAGUUCUCAUUUGCAACUGCGACCUGGCCCAGAAUAAAGCAUAGCAGUUCGACAUACACAACAACACAGAGUUACACAUGGAAUAAACAAAACAUACAGUCAAUAAUACAGUAGAAAAAAGAAAACAAAAAGUGAGUGCAAAUGAGGUAAGAUAAGGGAGCUAAGGCAAUAAAUAGGCUGUGGUGGCGAAGUAAUUACAAUAUAACAAUUAAACACUGGAAUGGUAGAUGUGCAGAAGAUGAAUGUGCAAGUAGAGAUACUGGGGUGCAAAGGAGCAAGAUAAAUAAAUACAGUAUGGGGAUGAGGUAGUUGGAUAGGCUGAUAGGCAGUCAGCAUCCAGGAGAUUGCUGCUCUGGCCAGAUCCUCCUUAAAUGGUAAGGGUCAGAAAGAUACACACAGGCCAUCUCUCUAAUCCAGGCCUCCUACUUUUCUCUCUCCAGGCAUUUCCCAGGCGAUGAAGGACCAUGUGACCAAGCCAAAAACCCUACAGAGUCACCCACCUCAAGUGUAAAGGUUGGCCCAAACCCACCGACCCCCUCCGCACACACUGCAACUCUCUACAGGAAGCUCGCUUCGCCACAGGAGUGGCAGAGCAGUUUGCAAUCGCUGAGGCAAAGCUGAAAACCUGGGCCUAUGUGGCUGAUGACGAGAAAGACGAUGACGAGGAGUUCCUCCAGAACAAUAGAAACACACUCACUCUACCCACAGCUCAGGUGUUCUGACACUUUGAUUCUCCCUCAGACCGCAACGUCCAACCACGAGCCCCGAGUGCCAUUCCAGGCCGAGACUGACAGCUUUGAAGUUCUAGCAGAAACAGCCUGCACUGUUCCCACAUCUCAGAACAACCCGCCUACUCCAGAGAGUGACCGGGCUAGCCCAUUCCCCACUGAGGGGGAACUAGUGGAUGGUGAGGAUCAGCCUGCACUGUUCCCACAUCUCAGAACAACCUGCCUACUCCAGAGAGUGACCGGGCUAGCCCAUUCCCCACUGAGGGGGAACUAGUGGAUGGUGAGGAUCAGCCUGCACUGCUGCAAGUCUGUAUUCUCUACAAGUCUGACUGGAGGCCGACAAUCAUGAAGCAGUAGGUUUGACUCCUGCUAUUCAACCUCUCACUCUGAGUCUCUUGGAGAGGAGGAAGAGGAUAGGAGUGUGUUUCAGGAGGGUAGAGAGUGGCACUCCUGCCAGAGAAGAUUAUUUUCCGACAGAGGCUCGUCAGGCGUGGCUUCGUUCCAUUAAAAGAUGAGAAGGUGGAAGGAAGAGGGAGAGCAUUUAAAUGUGAUGAUUCAUCUUGUAGGUGUACACCUUGGAUAGUCUGUCAACUCUUAGAAACACUGCCUUCAGAAGUUAUUCACACCCCUUGACUUAUUCCAGAUUUUGUUGUUACAGCCUGAAUUUAAAAUUGAUUAAAUCGAGAUUUUGUGUCAUUGGCCUACACGCAAUACCCCAUAAUGUCAAAGUGGAAUUAUAUUUUAUAUAAUAUAUAUAUAUUUGUUUAAUUUAAUUAAAAAUGAAAAGCUGAAAUGUCUUGAGUCAAGUAUUCAACUGCUUUGUUAUGGCAAGGAGUACAAAUCUGGAGUAAAAAUCUGCAAUAAUAGUGUUUAACAUGCUUUGAAUGACCACCUCAUCUCUGUACACCACGCAUAAAAUUAAUUGUAAGGUCCCUCAGUCAAGCAGUGAAUUUCAAAAGCAGAUUCAACCACCAAGACCAAGAAGGUGUUCCAAUGCCUCACAAAGGAGGGCCACUAUUGGUGGAUGGGUAAAAAUAAAAAAGCAGACAUUGAAUAUCCCUUUGAGCAUGGUGAAGUUAUUCAUUACACUUUGGAUGGUGUACAAUACACCCAGUCAAUACAAAGAGACACGUGUCCUUAACUCAGAUGCCGGAGAGGAAGGAAACCGCUCAGGGUUUCUACCAUGAGGCCAAUGGUAACUUUAAAACAGUUAGAGUUGAAUGGCUGUGAUAGGAGAAAACUGAGGAUGGAUCAACAAUUUUGUAGUUACAAAUAUUGUUGAUCCUUCCUCAAAUAUUCCAAAACAUCCUGUUUGUAAUAAGGCACUAAAGUAAAUCUGCAAAAAAUGAACUUUGUCCUCAAUACAAAUUACUGAGUAUUUUCAAGCAUGGUUGUAGCUGCGUCAUGUUAAGGGUAUGCUUGUCAUCAGCAAGGACUAGGGAGUUUUUUUAGGAUGAAAAGAAACAGAAUAGAGCUAAGCACAGGCAAAAUCCUAGAGGAAAACCUGGUUCAGUCUGAUUUCCAACAGACACUGGGAGACAAAUUCACCUUUCAGCAGGAGAAUAACCUAAAACACAAGGCCAAAUAUACAUUGGAAUUUAAUGUUCCUGAGAAAAUCCAUGGCAAGACUUAAAAAUGGCUGCCCUAGCAAUGAUCAACAACCAACUUGACAGAGCUUGAAGAAUUUAAAAUAAUUGUGGCAAAUAUUGUACAAUCCAGGUGUGCAAAGCUAUUAGAAAUGUACCCAGAAAGAAUCACAGCUGUUAUCAAUGCCAAAGGUGAUUCUAACAUGUAUUGACUCAGGGGUGUGAAUACUUAUAUAAACGAGAGAUUUCUGUAUUUCAUUUUCAAUAAAUUUGCAAACAUUUGUCAUUAUGGUGUAUUUUGUGUAGAUGGGUGAGGAAAAAAUCUAUUUAAUCUAUUUUGAACAUUCUGUAGACACUAUGUAACUUAGUGAUGUCUGGCCUUUACUUAUCAUCCUUCCUUCCCUUUGUCUCAGCUCUCGUCUCCCUGCACUUUUCCCCUCUUCGUUUUCUCUCACAACCUUGGCUGAUGUUACUAUGUAUUUGAGAGUUGAAACUGGAUUACUGAGAAAAGUUUUGUACAUUUCUGUGAAGUUUUAUUUCAUUGGUUCUCUAUGGAUUGUAAGUGUUGGACAAUGCUGUGAACUCAUGUAAUGGGGUUUGUCCUGGAUAAA